rnacentral:rRNA from 1 species
GCAUAAUCAGUAGUCUUUUAAUUGAAGGCUGGUAUGAAUGGUUGGACAAAUAUUAACUGUUUCAUAAAUAUUUUAAUUAAAAUUUUAUUUUUUAGUUAAAAAGCUAAAAUUUAUUUAAAAGACGAGAAGACCCUAUAAAUCUUUAUAAUUUAAUUAUUAAGAAUUUUUAGAAUUGUUUUGUUAUAAUAAUAAAAAUUAUUUUAUUGGGGUGAUAUUAAAAUUUAAUUAACUUUUAAUUUAUUAAUUCAUUAAUUUAUGUAUAAUUGAUCCAUUAUUAAUGAUUAAAAAAAUAAGUUACUUUAGGGAUAACAGCGUAAUUUUUUUGGUGAGUUCAUAUCAAUAAAAAAGAUUGCGACCUCGAUGUUGGAUUAA